rnacentral:rRNA from 1 species
AACGAACGCUGGCGGCAGGCCUAACACAUGCAAGUCGAGCGAAGCCUUCGGGUUUAGCGGCGGACGGGUGAGUAACGCGUGGGAACGUGCCCUUUGCUACGGAAUAGCCCCGGGAAACUGGGAGUAAUACCGUAUGUGCCCUUCGGGGGAAAGAUUUAUCGGCAAAGGAUCGGCCCGCGUUGGAUUAGGUAGUUGGUGGGGUAAUGGCCUACCAAGCCGACGAUCCAUAGCUGGUUUGAGAGGAUGAUCAGCCACACUGGGACUGAGACACGGCCCAGACUCCUACGGGAGGCAGCAGUGGGGAAUCUUAGACAAUGGGGGAAACCCUGAUCUAGCCAUGCCGCGUGAUCGAUGAAGGCCUUAGGGUUGUAAAGAUCUUUCAGUGGGGAAGAUAAUGACUGUACCCACAGAAGAAGCCCCGGCUAACUCCGUGCCAGCAGCCGCUGUAACAC